rnacentral:rRNA from 1 species
GACGAACCGUGCGAACGUUACUUCGGAAUCACUGGGCUUAAAGCGCGUGUAGGCGGGACGGCACGUCGGUCGCUGAAAUCCCCCGGCUCAACCGGGGAACGGGCGCCGAUACGACCGCCCUGGAGGGCGUAGGGGGACCUGGAACUUCCGGUGGAGCGGUGAAAUGCGUUGAGAUCGGAAGGAACGCCCGUGGCGAAAGCGAGGUCCUGGACGCCUACGUGACGCUGAGACGCGAAAGCGUGGGGAGCAACAGGG